rnacentral:rRNA from 1 species
UACGGAGGGUGCAAGCGUUAAUCGGAAUUACUGGGCGUAAAGCGAGUGUAGGCGGCUGCAUAAGUCGGAUGUGAACGCCCUGGGCUUAACCUGGGAACUGCAUUUGUGACUGCAAGGCUAGAGUACGGCAGAGGGGGGUAGAAUUCCACGUGUAGCAGUGAAAUGCGUAGAUAGGUGGAGGAAGACCGAUGGCGAAGGCAGCCCCCUGGGUCGAUACUGACGCUCAUGCACGAAAGCGUGGGGAGCAAACAGG